GGGCGGGUGGCGGAAUCGGCAGACGCGCACGGCUUAGGACCGUGUGCCGCAAGGCUUGGGGGUUCGACUCCCCCCCCGCCCA
rnacentral:tRNA from 1 species